rnacentral:rRNA from 1 species
GGGUUGUGAGGUUAAGCGACUAAGCGUACACGGUGGAUGCCCUGGCAGUCAGAGGCGAUGAAGGACGUGCUAAUCUGCGAUAAGCGUCGGUGAGGUGAUAUGAACCGUUAUAACCGGCGAUUUCCGAAUGGGGAAACCCAGUGUGUUUCGACACACUAUCAUUAACUGAAUCCAUAGGUUAAUGAGGCGAACCGGGGGAACUGAAACAUCUAAGUACCCCGAGGAAAAGAAAUCAACCGAGAUUCCCCCAGUAGCGGCGAGCGAACGGGGAGGAGCCCAGAGCCUGAAUCAGUGUGUGUGUUAGUGGAAGCGUCUGGAAAGGCGUGCGAUACAGGGUGACAGCCCCGUACACAAAAAUGCACAUAUUGUGAGCUCGAUGAGUAGGGCGGGACACGUGGUAUCCUGUCUGAAUAUGGGGGGACCAUCCUCCAAGGCUAAAUACUCCUGACUGACCGAUAGUGAACCAGUACCGUGAGGGAAAGGCGAAAAGAACCCCGGCGAGGGGAGUGAAAAAGAACCUGAAACCGUGUACGUACAAGCAGUGGGAGCCUCUUAAUGGGGUGACUGCGUACCUUUUGUAUAAUGGGUCAGCGACUUAUAUUCUGUAGCAAGGUUAACCGAAUAGGGGAGCCGAAGGGAAACCGAGUCUUAACUGGGCGUUAAGUUGCAGGGUAUAGACCCGAAACCCGGUGAUCUAGCCAUGGGCAGGUUGAAGGUUGGGUAACACUAACUGGAGGACCGAACCGACUAAUGUUGAAAAAUUAGCGGAUGACUUGUGGCUGGGGGUGAAAGGCCAAUCAAACCGGGAGAUAGCUGGUUCUCCCCGAAAGCUAUUUAGGUAGCGCCUCGUGAAUUCAUCUCCGGGGGUAGAGCACUGUUUCGGCAAGGGGGUCAUCCCGACUUACCAACCCGAUGCAAACUGCGAAUACCGGAGAAUGUUAUCACGGGAGACACACGGCGGGUGCUAACGUCCGUCGUGAAGAGGGAAACAACCCAGACCGCCAGCUAAGGUCCCAAAGUCAUGGUUAAGUGGGAAACGAUGUGGGAAGGCCCAGACAGCCAGGAUGUUGGCUUAGAAGCAGCCAUCAUUUAAAGAAAGCGUAAUAGCUCACUGGUCGAGUCGGCCUGCGCGGAAGAUGUAACGGGGCUAAACCAUGCACCGAAGCUGCGGCAGCGACACUAUGUGUUGUUGGGUAGGGGAGCGUUCUGUAAGCCUGUGAAGGUGGCCUGUGAGGGUUGCUGGAGGUAUCAGAAGUGCGAAUGCUGACAUAAGUAACGAUAAAGCGGGUGAAAAGCCCGCUCGCCGGAAGACCAAGGGUUCCUGUCCAACGUUAAUCGGGGCAGGGUGAGUCGACCCCUAAGGCGAGGCCGAAAGGCGUAGUCGAUGGGAAACAGGUUAAUAUUCCUGUACUUGGUGUUACUGCGAAGGGGGGACGGAGAAGGCUAUGUUGGCCGGGCGACGGUUGUCCCGGUUUAAGCGUGUAGGCUGGUUUUCCAGGCAAAUCCGGAAAACCAAGGCUGAGGCGUGAUGACGAGGCACUACGGUGCUGAAGUGACAAAUGCCCUGCUUCCAGGAAAAGCCUCUAAGCAUCAGGUAACAUCAAAUCGUACCCCAAACCGACACAGGUGGUCAGGUAGAGAAUACCAAGGCGCUUGAGAGAACUCGGGUGAAGGAACUAGGCAAAAUGGUGCCGUAACUUCGGGAGAAGGCACGCUGAUAUGUAGGUGAAGCGACUUGCUCGUGGAGCUGAAAUCAGUCGAAGAUACCAGCUGGCUGCAACUGUUUAUUAAAAACACAGCACUGUGCAAACACGAAAGUGGACGUAUACGGUGUGACGCCUGCCCGGUGCCGGAAGGUUAAUUGAUGGGGUUAGCGGUAACGCGAAGCUCUUGAUCGAAGCCCCGGUAAACGGCGGCCGUAACUAUAACGGUCCUAAGGUAGCGAAAUUCCUUGUCGGGUAAGUUCCGACCUGCACGAAUGGCGUAAUGAUGGCCAGGCUGUCUCCACCCGAGACUCAGUGAAAUUGAACUCGCUGUGAAGAUGCAGUGUACCCGCGGCAAGACGGAAAGACCCCGUGAACCUUUACUAUAGCUUGACACUGAACAUUGAGCCUUGAUGUGUAGGAUAGGUGGGAGGCUUUGAAGUGUGGACGCCAGUCUGCAUGGAGCCGACCUUGAAAUACCACCCUUUAAUGUUUGAUGUUCUAACGUUGGCCCGUAAUCCGGGUUGCGGACAGUGUCUGGUGGGUAGUUUGACUGGGGCGGUCUCCUCCUAAAGAGUAACGGAGGAGCACGAAGGUUGGCUAAUCCUGGUCGGACAUCAGGAGGUUAGUGCAAUGGCAUAAGCCAGCUUGACUGCGAGCGUGACGGCGCGAGCAGGUGCGAAAGCAGGUCAUAGUGAUCCGGUGGUUCUGAAUGGAAGGGCCAUCGCUCAACGGAUAAAAGGUACUCCGGGGAUAACAGGCUGAUACCGCCCAAGAGUUCAUAUCGACGGCGGUGUUUGGCACCUCGAUGUCGGCUCAUCACAUCCUGGGGCUGAAGUAGGUCCCAAGGGUAUGGCUGUUCGCCAUUUAAAGUGGUACGCGAGCUGGGUUUAGAACGUCGUGAGACAGUUCGGUCCCUAUCUGCCGUGGGCGCUGGAGAACUGAGGGGGGCUGCUCCUAGUACGAGAGGACCGGAGUGGACGCAUCACUGGUGUUCGGGUUGUCAUGCCAAUGGCACUGCCCGGUAGCUAAAUGCGGAAGAGAUAAGUGCUGAAAGCAUCUAAGCACGAAACUUGCCCCGAGAUGAGUUCUCCCUGAGACUUAGAGUCUCCUGAAGGAACGUUGAAGACGACGACGUUGAUAGGCCGGGUGUGUAAGCGCAGCGAUGCGUUGAGCUAACCGGUACUAAUGAACCGUGAGGCUUAACCUUACAACGCCGAAG